UGGGGAAUAUUGCACAAUGGGCGCAAGCCUGAUGCAGCCAUGCCGCGUGUGUGAAGAAGGCCUUCGGGUUGUAAAGCACUUUCAGCGGGGAGGAAGGCGUUAAGGUUAAUAACCUUGGCGAUUGACGUUACCCGCAGAAGAAGCACCGGCUAACUCCGUGCCAGCAGCCGCGGUAAUACGGAGGGUGCAAGCGUUAAUCGGAAUUACUGGGCGUAAAGCGCACGCAGGCGGUCUGUCAAGUCGGAUGUGAAAUCCCCGGGCUCAACCUGGGAACUGCAUUCGAAACUGGCAGGCUAGAGGCUUGUAGAGGGGGGUAGAAUUCCAGGUGUAGCGAUGAAAUGCGUAGAGAUCUGGAGGAAUACCGGUGGCGAAGGCGGCCCCCUGGACAAAGACUGACGCUCAGGUGCGAAAGCGUGGGGAGCAAACAGG
rnacentral:rRNA from 1 species